CCAUUGGUCAAAACAGUCAUGUGACCGUCUCGGGAAUAUUAAUAAAACACAAGCUUGCAUAUCAAAGUUGACGAAGCGAUAGACAACAGACUCAUCUCCAAAGAUUUUGAUGACAGGAAAACAAAUUUCAAGGCGUUUUUAUGGCGAAACAGUUUUAAAAACAGGUGGUAACAUUGUAAAUAGCAGGUUGCCCAAAAUAAUUCAGAAGAAUUGCAAUAGCGGUGUAAAGCUCUUCAACAUCUUUAAGUGAGGGAAUGUGCCCGGGCACGCCAGCAUUGUGUCUGAACAUGAAAACAACAACUUAUGGAUAUAACACAAUAACAGUCAAUUAUUUUUUAUUUAGGCAGUUAGUUUCGUACAGUACAACCCCAAAUUAAUCUAAUUCAAUCGGAGAAACAAAUGAUCGUUUUUUGAAGACAAAUUUUGCGAGUAAAAGAUGAAAAACAAGAUAAAAAAAGACUUUUUGUGCCGUGACAAGAUUUGAUGAGAUCUGCAAUUUGUUGUCACUCACGAGUUCUCUAUCAAAACUCUGGGAAUCGGAAAACCAAUUAGCUCACUCACUGUGCACAGUGUACACCCUGUUUAAUAAAGUUAUUCUCAAAAAAUUUAAAAUGCUUGUUUUUUAGUGAACUAAACACUCUCUGGUUAACCAUCAAACAAUGAAGCGUGAAAGCUUCAUAAAGUUCGUUGAUAGGGUUAAAAGAUAUCAUAAAUAUAUUCCUUUUAACAGGUCACCUGUGAAACCUUGAAACAACAAAAUUUUAAUAUGUAUAUGUAGUCACGUGAACACGUUAUUUUGAGGUUGUUACAAAGAAAAUGAAAAACAACAUAAUCUUCACAAGUUUUGAUGUGUUCAAUCCAGUGCGAGCGAAGGAAGUUUUAGUAGACAAAGAAAUCUAUUCAAUCAAUAACAAACACAACAUCAUCAAUGGUGACGCUCGUCUCAGCAAUAUUCGUGGACAAUAUUAUCUACAAGUAGAGCGAAAGAAAACGCGUCUAAGUAUUGAAAAUUUUUCAAUCUAUCAUCAUGUUGCAAAUCUUUCCAUAAAGCAAUUUUCUUACCUUUCUGACUCCUUGUGGUACGGGUUCAAAAACACGACGUUGAUCUUCGCGAGGUAUUUGAGAAUGCAACGGUAAAAGACGGUAAUUUCGAUCACCUUCAUAAAAUAAGAUUGUCAAAUGAUCAGCACACGUGAAAAGUAAAUGAAGAAAUAUAUUAUUAUAAAGAGAAAUGCCGCGACAGUGAUCUUACCGAAAAUAGGAUGCUGAGAUAAAAAUUUAUGAAUGGCAAAAAUCAAGUUCCAACCAGGUAGAAAGAUGAGUAUUGCACCAGGAAUAUCAAGAUCAGCAAUAUAAUUUAAUAAUGCCUUUAUAAAAUUGAACAACAGUCAAUGUUUAAGGGAUAUAUGCAAUUCGGCUUCAAAAAAAAAGCUAGCUAUUAAAGUGCUUGUGAUUGAGAAGAAUACCUCAAUCAAUUCAAAAGACAUUUCUUUCUCAUUGAGCUGUGAUAACGCGUUCUUUGUUUGAAAUGAGUAAUCGUCACUGCAGACAUUAUUGCAAUUUUCCUAAAUUUAUAUUUAAUAAAGAUUACGGGGCGUACGUA